CAAGGCUGGGAGCCCUUCUCUCUUCCCCAGCCAGCUCUGUGUAUGCAGGGAGCAGAGAAGGAGUCAUGGUUUCUCCAGGGAGGAAGAGAGUUCCUAGGAUGGUAACUUGGCCCCUGCUGCGCCAUCUCAGUUUACUUGGCACAGGGUCCAGCAAGCCAUGGAAGGAAGCAUGGCUGGCUAGACAAGCCUCCUAGGCUGCAAAAUUCUACAGGUGAGAGAGAUUGAGUGUGUAUAUGUAUGCGAGAGAGAAUACGGAUGAAUGGGUGAGUGAAUGAAUGAAUGAAUGAAUGAACGCUGGGCACCACCAGGGCGAACUCUGCAAGCUCUCCACCCCCGGAGGAUCCUUGGCUGAUUAAGUGGCUGGGAGAAGCCAGGAGCCCCAGAGAGAGGGCUAAGUGACUUGAUGGGGCUGGUGGUGGGGGAAGAGGUUCUAAGUGCUGUCUUGGCCUGGCCCCUGGUCUUUGUCCUUCUCAGAGCCUACCAGCCGUGGGCCUUGCUGGGCACCUGCUCUUUGUGCCUGGAACAUACUUUCACAUGGUGACUUACUUCGGUGACUUCAGGUUCACACUGAAUGUGGCCUCCCCUGAAGCCUUCAUGGACUGCUGAAAAUCAGUGGCACUCUUUGCUCCCACAGUUCCUGGCUCACCUUUGUGGGAGCGCUUAUCUCCCUGACCUGAGUUACCUUCUGCUGGCUUCCUCCCUCACUAGACUGGCAGGGCAGGGCUCUUAUCUUACUUCUGUCUCCUCACUGGAGCCUGGCACGUGGCUGCUAACCUGGCAAUGAUGAUUGAUGAUGAGGGAUGUGACAUCUUCAGGUAGCUGAGGGGCUCUCAGCUGGAAGAGGAGGCCAUCUGAUUGUGUGCCCUCACGGGCGGGACCCAGGCUACCCUAUGGAAGUUACGGGCAGACAGACAGCAGCUCACCACGAGGAGGAACUUUGUCUAUAAGAGUGGCCAUCUAGGAACCCAGACACCUUGGAGCCACUUCCCAUCUCUGCAGGUGGGACAGCUUAUGCCUACAGAGUUGAAGCUGUUUGCAUGGCUGACACAGAGGCAGAACCCAUGGUCUCCUGACCUUGCUCUGAGGUCCCAGAUCUUCCUCAGGGCUUCCAUUUCUCUACCUGUAAAAUGAGGUGACAGCAUCACAGUUGAGAAGGGGCAAGUGGAAAGCAAGGAGGAUGGUGAUCCAUCUUCCAACCCUGAGGGAGGCAUGCUGUGGGGACUAAGCAGCUGCUACCCACGAGGGCUUCAAGGAGGCAGCAUGAGCAGUGACAGGUGCCAGGAGUGACUGGAGCUCAUGGGAAGGAUGAAGGGUAUUAAACACCUACUAUCUGCUAGGCACUGUGCUGGGCUUUUGUUCACAGCCAUUAUAUUAUUUAACUUUAUCUGUGAUGAAGGAAAUGUUCUGUUCUGUGCUGUCCAAUAUGGUAGCCACUAGCCACAUGUAGCUAUUAAGCAUUUGAAAUGUGG
rnacentral:lncRNA from 1 species